GACGAACGCUGGCGGCGUGCUUAACACAUGCAAGUCGAACGGAAAGGCCCUGCUUUUGUGGGGUGCUCGAGUGGCGAACAGGUGAGUAACACGUGAGUAACCUGCCCUUGACUUUGGGAUAACUUCAGGAAACUGGGGCUAAUACCGGAUAGGAGCUCCUGCUGCAUGGUGGGGGUUGGAAAGUUUCGGCGGUUGGGGAUGGACUCGCGGCUUAUCAGCUUGUUGGUGGGGUAGUGGCUUACCAAGGCUUUGACGGGUAGCCGGCCUGAGAGGGUGACCGGCCACAUUGGGACUGAGAUACGGCCCAGACUCCUACGGGAGGCAGCAGUGGGGAAUAUUGCACAAUGGGCGGAAGCCUGGUGCAGCAACGCCGCGUGCGGGAUGACGGCCUUCGGGUUGUAAACCGCUUUCGCCUGUGACGAAGCGUGAGUGACGGUAAUGGGUAAAGAAGCACCGGCUAACUACGUG
rnacentral:rRNA from 1 species